AUUGAACGCUGGCGGGAUGCCUUACACAUGCAAGUCGAACGAGUGGCGGACGGGUGAGUAAUGUAUCGGAACGUGCCCAGUAGCGGGGGAUAACUACUCGAAAGGGUGGCUAAUACCGCAUACAAUUGGAGCGGCCGAGAUGGGAUUAGCUAGUUGGUGGGGUAAAGGCUCACCAAGGCAACGAUCCGUAGCUGGUUUGAGAGGAUGACCAGCCACACUGGGACUGAGACACGGCCCAGACUCCUACGGGAGGCAGCAGUGGGGAAUAUUGCACAAUGGGGGAAACCCUGAUCCAGCCAUGCCGCGUGUAUGAGAAGGCCUUCGGGUUGUAAAGUACUUUCGGCAGGGAAGCGGUACCUGCAGAAUAAGCACCGGCUAACUCCGUGCCAGCAGCCGCGGUAAUUC
rnacentral:rRNA from 1 species